UACGUAGGGUGCGAGCGUUGUCCGGAAUUAUUGGGCGUAAAGAGCUUGUAGGCGGUUUGUCGCGUCUGCUGUGAAAUCCGGGCGUCAACCCGGACUUGCAGUGGGUACGGGCAGGCUAGAGUGUGGUAGGGGAGACGUGGAAUUCCUGGUGUAGCGGUGAAAUGCGCAGAUAUCAGGAGGAACACCGAUGGCGAAGGCAGGUCUCUGGGCCACUACUGACGCUGAGAAGCGAAAGCAUGGGGAGCGAACAGG
rnacentral:rRNA from 1 species